rnacentral:rRNA from 1 species
UACGGAGGGUGCAAGCGUUAUCCGGAUUUACUGGGUUUAAAGGGUGCGUAGGUGGGUUUGUAAGUCAGUGGUGAAAUCUCCGAGCUUAACUCGGAAACUGCCAUUGAUACUAUAGAUCUUGAAUUAUCUGGAGGUAAGCGGAAUAUGUCAUGUAGCGGUGAAAUGCUUAGAUAUGACAUAGAACACCAAUUGCGAAGGCAGCUUACUAAGGAUAUAUUGACACUGAGGCACGAAAGCGUGGGGAUCAAACAGG